UCUUUAGCUGACCAAGAAAGUGUAUGUGUGGAAUCAAUUUAUCUGUGUAGUAACACCAAAUUUUGAAAUCUGGCAUUUGAUGAGUCAGCCAGGGAGAAAAUGGAAACACAUUGUGAGAGGUUCCUUCUGUGAAAAAAGUGCAACUUUGUGACAUGAUAUGCCUUCCUGACUGUAUAAUAUACCUGAGCAGCAUACAGCUUAUUACUGCAUAAAAGAAACAUAUCAAAAUAAUUUUGAAUCAGAUUGUGUGCUGGAAAAAUGGCCUUACAUCCAAAGGAGUGAAAUUUGGAGAGUCAUUUGCCAUCUGUACUUAGGCCAUCCUGGAAUAUGAAGAAAUAAGACUGCAUUGACAACAUCCUGAUCCUCGUGUUCAGAUCUUUUGUGAUUUCUUGUGAAGGGUCUUUGAUUUUUCAUAAAAAUAAAAAAUAUAUUAAUAUAAUAUGAUUUUUGCUUAUUACUGA